AUUGAACGCUGGCGGCAGGCCUAACACAUGCAAGUCGAGCGGAGCGGCGGACGGGUGAGUAAUGCCUAGGAAUCUGCCUGGUAGUGGGGGAUAACGUCCGGAAACGGGCGCUAAUACCGCAUAAUAUCAGAUGAGCCUAUGUGGGUUUAGCUAGUUGGUGGGGUAAAGGCGUACAAAGGCGACGAGCCGGAACUGGUCUGAGAGGAUGUUCAGUCACCGUGGAACUGAGACACGGUCCAGACUCCUACGUGAGGCAGCAGUGGUGAAUAUUGGACAAUGGGCGAAAUCCUGAUCCAGCCAUGCCGCGUGUGUGACGAAUGUCUUCGGAUUGUAAAGCACUUUAAGUUGGGAGGCGUUACCAACAGAAUAAGCACCGGCUAACUUCGUGCCAGCAGCCGCGGUAAUUC
rnacentral:rRNA from 1 species